GCCGGGCGUGGUGGCUCACGCCUGUAAUCCCAGCACUUUGGGAGGCCGAGGUGGGUGGAUCACCUGAGGUCAGGAGUUUGAGACCAGCCUGGCCAACAUGGUGAAACCCUGUCUCUA
rnacentral:SRP_RNA from 1 species